CGCAUACGGUGGAUGCCUUGGCAGUCAGAGGCGAUGAAAGACGUGGUAGCCUGCGAUAAGCUUCGGGGAGUCGGCAAACAGACUUUGAUCCGGAGAUCUCUGAAUGGGGGAACCCACCUAGGAUAACCUAGGUAUCUUGUACUGAAUCCAUAGGUGCAAGAGGCGAACCAGGGGAACUGAAACAUCUAAGUACCCUGAGGAAAAGAAAUCAACCGAGAUUCCCUUAGUAGUGGCGAGCGAACGGGGAUUAGCCCUUAAGCUUCAUUGAUUUUAGCGGAACGCUCUGGAAAGUGCGGCCAUAGUGGGUGAUAGCCCUGUACGCGAAAGGAUCUUUGAAGUGAAAUCGAGUAGGACGGAGCACGAGAAACUUUGUCUGAACAUGGGGGGACCAUCCUCCAAGGCUAAAUACUACUGACUGACCGAUAGUGAACCAGUACCGUGAGGGAAAGGCGAAAAGAACCCCGGAGAGGGGAGUGAAAUAGAACCUGAAACCGUAUGCGUACAAGCAGUGGGAGCCUACUUGUUAGGUGACUGCGUACCUUUUGUAUAAUGGGUCAGCGACUUAUAUUCAGUGGCGAGCUUAACCGAAUAGGGUAGGCGUAGCGAAAGCGAGUCUUAAUAGGGCGUUUAGUCGCUGGGUAUAGACCCGAAACCGGGCGAUCUAUCCAUGAGCAGGUUGAAGGUUAGGUAACACUGACUGGAGGACCGAACCCACUCCCGUUGAAAAGGUAGGGGAUGACUUGUGGAUCGGAGUGAAAGGCUAAUCAAGCUCGGAGAUAGCUGGUUCUCCUCGAAAGCUAUUUAGGUAGCGCCUCAUGUAUCACUCUGGGGGGUAGAGCACUGUUUCGGCUAGGGGGUCAUCCCGACUUACCAAACCGAUGCAAACUCCGAAUACCCAGAAGUGCCGAGCAUGGGAGACACACGGCGGGUGCUAACGUCCGUCGUGAAAAGGGAAACAACCCAGACCGCCAGCUAAGGUCCCAAAGUUGUGGUUAAGUGGUAAACGAUGUGGGAAGGCUUAGACAGCUAGGAGGUUGGCUUAGAAGCAGCCAUCCUUUAAAGAAAGCGUAAUAGCUCACUAGUCGAGUCGGCCUGCGCGGAAGAUGUAACGGGGCUCAAACCACACACCGAAGCUGCGGGUGUCACGUAAGUGACGCGGUAGAGGAGCGUUCUGUAAGCCUGUGAAGGUGAGUUGAGAAGCUUGCUGGAGGUAUCAGAAGUGCGAAUGCUGACAUGAGUAACGACAAUGGGUGUGAAAAACACCCACGCCGAAAGACCAAGGGUUCCUGCGCAACGUUAAUCGACGCAGGGUUAGUCGGUUCCUAAGGCGAGGCUGAAAAGCGUAGUCGAUGGGAAACAGGUUAAUAUUCCUGUACUUCUGGUUACUGCGAUGGAGGGACGGAGAAGGCUAGGCCAGCUUGGCGUUGGUUGUCCAAGUUUAAGGUGGUAGGCUGAAAUCUUAGGUAAAUCCGGGGUUUCAAGGCCGAGAGCUGAUGACGAGUCGUCUUUUAGAUGACGAAGUGGUUGAUGCCAUGCUUCCAAGAAAAGCUUCUAAGCUUCAGGUAACCAGGAACCGUACCCCAAACCGACACAGGUGGUCGGGUAGAGAAUACCAAGGCGCUUGAGAGAACUCGGGUGAAGGAACUAGGCAAAAUGGCACCGUAACUUCGGGAGAAGGUGCGCCGGCUAGGGUGAAGGAUUUACUCCGUAAGCUCUGGCUGGUCGAAGAUACCAGGCCGCUGCGACUGUUUAUUAAAAACACAGCACUCUGCAAACACGAAAGUGGACGUAUAGGGUGUGACGCCUGCCCGGUGCCGGAAGGUUAAUUGAUGGGGUUAGCGCAAGCGAAGCUCUUGAUCGAAGCCCCGGUAAACGGCGGCCGUAACUAUAACGGUCCUAAGGUAGCGAAAUUCCUUGUCGGGUAAGUUCCGACCUGCACGAAUGGCGUAACGAUGGCGGCGCUGUCUCCACCCGAGACUCAGUGAAAUUGAAAUCGCUGUGAAGAUGCAGUGUAUCCGCGGCUAGACGGAAAGACCCCGUGAACCUUUACUGUAGCUUUGCACUGGACUUUGAGCCUGCUUGUGUAGGAUAGGUGGGAGGCUUUGAAGCGUGGACGCCAGUUCGCGUGGAGCCAUCCUUGAAAUACCACCCUGGCAUGCUUGAGGUUCUAACUCUGGUCCGUGAUCCGGAUCGAGGACAGUGUAUGGUGGGCAGUUUGACUGGGGCGGUCUCCUCCUAAAGAGUAACGGAGGAGUACGAAGGUGCGCUCAGACCGGUCGGAAAUCGGUCGCAGAGUAUAAAGGCAAAAGCGCGCUUGACUGCGAGACAGACACGUCGAGCAGGUACGAAAGUAGGUCUUAGUGAUCCGGUGGUUCUGUAUGGAAGGGCCAUCGCUCAACGGAUAAAAGGUACUCCGGGGAUAACAGGCUGAUACCGCCCAAGAGUUCAUAUCGACGGCGGUGUUUGGCACCUCGAUGUCGGCUCAUCACAUCCUGGGGCUGAAGCCGGUCCCAAGGGUAUGGCUGUUCGCCAUUUAAAGUGGUACGCGAGCUGGGUUUAGAACGUCGUGAGACAGUUCGGUCCCUAUCUGCCGUGGACGUUUGAGAUUUGAGAGGGGCUGCUCCUAGUACGAGAGGACCGGAGUGGACGAACCUCUGGUGUUCCGGUUGUCACGCCAGUGGCAUUGCCGGGUAGCUAUGUUCGGAAAAGAUAACCGCUGAAAGCAUCUAAGCGGGAAACUUGCCUCAAGAUGAGAUCUCACUGGGAACUUGAUUCCCCUGAAGGGCCGUCGAAGACUACGACGUUGAUAGGUUGGGUGUGU
rnacentral:rRNA from 1 species